GGAAGUUUAUGCGGUGUCGAUCGUGGGGCCGUUUCCCGUUCCGGUCACAAAUUAGUUCGAUCUGACAAGACUGUAUAUGAGCUUCAACAAAUUUAAAGGGGAGAUUCCGAAGGAGCUUGCGAGUCUACCGGAGCUUCGUUAUAUACAUCUGCAUCAAAACCGGUUUUCGGGCCAGAUUCCGGCAGAGUUAGGCACUUUGGAGAAACUUCACCACUUGUAAGAUAACUGAUCUCCUCAAAUAUAUAACGUUCCUUGGUAAACUUGGAACUAAAGAUAUAUGUUCCGCUGGUACCUCGGAUUUUAAGACCGUAUGUUCGUAGGGAUGUCGGGAACAAUCACUUGGUGGGUACUAUAAAACAACUUGUAAGUCUGUAUGGUUGUUUCCCGUCGCUUCGAAACCUGUAAGUUCAUGUGUUAAAACUUUUUGCAUGUUGAAUGAAUGGCUAAUUGCAGCAAAUUUUCCUGUAGUUACCUAAACAAUAACUACUUAACGGGAGGAAUUCCCGCGAAGCUAGCAAGCUUGACCAAUUUGGAAAUCUUGUAAGUGCUUUAACCAGCUUUACCCUAUGGGGAUAUAGGAAUGGAGUUCGCCUGGUUUUAGGAUACCCUUUUAACCGGAUAGAAUAUUCUGGUCUAACUAGAAUUUUCGUUAUUCGAUAUACUGGUUGCAGGUACCUAUCCUACUAACUUUCAGGAGAAAUACCAUAUAGCAUUGUUCAUCUCCCACAGUUGACAUCUUUGCAUUUAGAUCACAAUCAAUUUGUAGGAAGAAUUCCUGAAAAAACUCUAUAAGCAUCCCUUCCUGAAAGAAAUGUACAUUGCGGGAAAUUCGUUCCAGAAAGGAGCAAAAUCCAUCGGUGUCCCGAAAGUCCUGGAACUUGCUGACUCAGAGUUCCUAGUUUAGAGUCUAACGAGCUAUAUAAAAUUCUUUAUUGUUUAUAUCAGCUAUAGAAAUUUUGAUUAUAUUUGUCAAGACACUGAUUCAUCUAGUUCUCUAGCAAUGGAAAUAAACAGGUUUACAUUGA